rnacentral:lncRNA from 1 species
UUUUUAUUCAAUUUAAUCAAAUCUCAAGAAAUAUAUAAAAAGGAAUUAUAAAAAUGUAAUGAGAAUGGAACCAGUAUCGCUAAACUUCACCAAUUCCUUCUCUCCGAAACGCGUCCAUUUAACCGCAAGUACCCGCAAAAUCCCACAUCGCCAAGUCUCGAGCCAACAAGCCGAUAUAAAAUAAAAUAAUUUUCUCCUGUAGCACGCCCCCGAGACGUAUGGCUUAGACGGCGUCUAAGCACAGCCCCACCGGGGGCACUUGGCUUAAUGUUGGUCCGGUUCAAUACUGCAGUCGCAUGGUCCUACCUACAUGGACAGGCUUGGGCCAUGUGCCCGCUAAAUCAAUAUGAGAGCCAGACGUCGCCGUGGGUCUGACCGGUGGCUCAUCAAUUCCUUACCUAAAAUGAGCCGUCGAGUUAUCAACAUUAGCCACGGCCGGGGUGGUGGCCGGCCAAGUUUUUUUUUAAAAAAAAACUCAUAUUCUUGCAUUAUCCCACAUCGAAAAAAAAAAAUCGAAGAAGCUGAUGGACCGCAAAGUCCCACAUUGGAAAAACGAGAAAGAAAUUUCCCCAGAAGCUGAUGGCUUCCAAGCGUCAAAGCUCAUACACAAAAUAAAACCCAUUGUUAUCAAAGACUUGUUUCAAAAUAUUUUCAUAUACGGCCUUAAAGAGUGAAAACCCAGAGUUUCAGUUUCACAAAUUGAAAAGCCAAAACCAAAAGAAGGUGAUAUUGGUGGGAU